rnacentral:rRNA from 1 species
GACGAACGCUGGCGGCGUGCUUAACACAUGCAAGUCGAACGGAAAGGCCCUGCUUUUGUGGGGUGCUCGAGUGGCGAACGGGUGAGUAACACGUGAGUAACCUGCCCUUGACUUUGGGAUAACUUCAGGAAACUGGGGCUAAUACCGGAUAGGAGCUCCUGCUGCAUGGUGGGGGUUGGAAAGUUUCGGCGGUUGGGGAUGGACUCGCGGCUUAUCAGCUUGUUGGUGGGGUAGUGGCUUACCAAGGCUGUGACGGGUAGCCGGCCUGAGAGGGUGACCGGCCACAUUGGGACUGAGAUACGGCCCAGACUCCUACGGGAGGCAGCAGUGGGGAGUAUUGCACAAUGGGCGGAAGCCUGAUGCAGCAACGCCGCGUGCGGGAUGACGGCCUUCGGGUUGUAAACCGCUUUCGCCUGUGACGAAGCGUGAGUGACGGUAAUGGGUAAAGAAGCACCGGCUAACUACGUG